rnacentral:rRNA from 1 species
UACGGGGGGGGCAAGCGUUGUUCGGAAUUACUGGGCGUAAAGGGCGCGUAGGCGGGUUCGCAAGUCAGGGGUGAAAUCUUUCAGCUUAACUGGAAAACAGCCCCUGAUACUGCGAGUCUCGAGGGAGGUAGGGGCAUGUGGAACUUCCGGUGGAGCGGUGAAAUGCGUAGAUAUCGGAAGGAACGCCGGUGGCGAAAGCGACGUGCUGGACCUCUUCUGACGCUGAGGCGCGAAAGCUAGGGGAGCAAACGGG